rnacentral:ncRNA from 1 species
AUUAUGGAGAGUUUGAUCCUGGCUCAGGACGAACGCUGGCGGCGUGCCUAAUACAUGCAAGUCGAGCGGAGUUGAUGAGAAGCUUGCUUCUCUGAUACUUAGCGGCGGACGGGUGAGUAACACGUAGGCAACCUGCCCACAAGAUCGGGAUAACAUUCGGAAACGAAUGCUAAGACCGGAUAAACAGUGCUCUCGCAUGAGAGGGCUGGGAAAGACGGAGCAAUCUGUCACUUGCGGAUGGGCCUGCGGCGCAUUAGCUAGUUGGUGAGGUAACGGCCCACCAAGGCGACGAUGCGUAG